ACCCUCCUUCUCCAACUAAAACUCAAAACUCUACCUUGGGAUCACCGCGGAACCGUGGGAAGGUCUCAGGGAAAACACGGCUGUCCCGAUAUUCUCCUAACUGAGAAGUGCUAUACAGUCUCCUCUAGACGAGAUGUCAGACUAGAAUGGACAGGUGCCAAACCAGAGCAGCAGAAGCAGACUGUGAAACUCAGUGAUGCUACUGCCAUCUCCAGCUGUCCUCCUCUCAUGCUCCCCCACAGGCAGCUAGCUUGGAUAGUGGACUCGAGGGAACACAUGUACUGCUGCCGGCUUCUCUCCACACCCACUCUGUGUGAUGACUACAGAAUCAUUUUAAUCAAGAAUGAAGACUACAUAAUUCAAGCAACAGGGUCAAAAGUCUGAUGUCUACAGGGAAAGUGCAUUGGUUUAACUUCAGUCAGAUUUUAAAUCUUGGCUUUAAGGCUUGGCUAAAUAAUUAGGUCAAACCACUGCAACAUUCCCACGUAACUAAGGCCUUAAUAAAGGAUUUUAAAGAUAAAUACCUCAGUUAAAUACUUAAGCUGCAGUCUGAAACCUAUUGAAGUCAACGAGACAGGAGAGCAAGCUGCCAACAAGAUACACUCUGAAGUGUCUUUCUGAAUCAGUGGCUUCAUUCUCCUCUAAGGAACAAACCUCCAUUUCAGUGAAAGUCAUCUUAGGAUCAUGGGAACAGCAUGCCAAAGAGCAUCUGGAAUUGUCAAAAGGCAGAUGGGUCCAUAGUGCCUUCACACCUGAUACCCUUUACACUGACUUGCGGAGUGAAGCUGCUGCAUGAAAGGGAGAAAUAUAUUCCUUCACUAACUGUAUGCUUGUUUCUCCAAUACAAGCAAACUCCUGGCAGACAGUCCCACCUGACUCCCAUGUAGGGGUGUCGGGUGUGGUGUAGGAAAGGUCUAAUAUACAAGUGAGGCUAAACCACACUUGGGUAGUUGGUUCAAAUUAUAGCUGCUCUUUGGGUUUUACUGAUGAGAGUGAAGCUGUGAAGAUUCAACCCUCCUGUCCUUCAGCCUGUUGUCCAUUUUUGCAAACUGUUCUUAGCCCUGACCUUGUCUCCACACUGAGAUGAAGUCUGUGUCCAUCUGUGAUUUCUGCUAGGACCACUUACAUCUUCUCUGGAGCUCUUCCUGACAAGAGAGCUACCUUCAUGGUUUCUUUCUACCAUAGUUCAGUAAUAAUAAUUACAUAAGCGGUUAUUCCCAGGGGGUAAAAUACAAAAGAAAGGAAAUCAAGAUAUCCUGUGAUCAGAGUUAAUAGGACAUAUCUAUAGCAUAUGGACACAAAUCAGCGUAUGUCUGGGAUGUAAGUACGUAGCAGAAUAAGGUAUGUGGAGUGGAAUAAAGAAGAGAAAGGCACUGACCAAGGCUUUGGAUGGAGAACUGGACCGAUAUCAAUCUGCCCCAUGUACGGCUAACAGGCAGACAGCUGUCUGCAGAAUAUGCUUACCUCCUCAUUUGUCAGCCAUCUCCGAACUCACAUUCCUUUACCCAUCUUUAUCCAAGAUUUCCUUUUGGACCCAAGGACACGACCUAUCAUUUUUGUUCUGCUGUUCUGAAAUCUCUUUUCUCCUGUGCUUUUUCUGUGCAAAAGCAUUUGAAGAACUUCACUGGUUCCCCAAGUUAAUACUCAAUAGGUAAUGUACAUCUCCUAAUGUCUGUCAGGUGAGAAAUGUAAGAAAAUGCCAGCUGUUCCUGCAUGUUUAGAUACUGUAUGAACUCCCUGUGCUUUGCUGGGUCUGUUGUUGCUCGCCUGGACUGAGGUACAUAUCAUCUGGAUUACUCUUUACUGUGAAAAAACUGAGCAUGUGAGCAGCACAUUUCUGGAAAUAUUUAUUUGAACACUGACACAAAAGUAAAUCAACUCUGCUCCAGUUCCUUUGGAUUGCUGAGUGUUCACCAGCAGAAAUGUUUACAGUUUUUUAGUAAAUAAUGAAAAUCUCCUCAAGCUGUGAUAUUUGAAUAAAUAAAUGUGAGUUCUUGCACAAAAAUGAUGAUCAUAAGCUGUCUAGGUGGUGUACAGAAAGGUCCUAACAACUCAGUUUAAAUUCUGGCUCUCAACUAUUAGCAAGUUUAUGGCUUGUGAUCAAUUUACCGGCUGCCCAUCAAACCAUACAGGCAAUAAAACUGACCCACAAAAGCAAGAUGGAACUGGGUGAAUGCAGCUUUUCCUGAGCAGAUUAUACUGACUGUGAAGGAAUCAAUGUGCAAUGUAUUCAUCCAGCUCCAGCCAACACAAAUAGUCCAUUACCAUUCCUGAGUAUAUUUUGUACUGAAGUAAAAGAUUUGUAGGAAAGGUCAUCAUCAAUGAAAUAAAACAUUUGGUGACUCAGUCAAAGGAAUGGAGCAGUGACAUACAUUCUGUAACACAUAUGUUUAUGUAAUUUCUUGGGAGUGGAAAAAUAAGUCCAUUUUGUAUAAUGAAAAUGCCAACUAGAAGACCAACUACCAGUGAAGCUGAUAAGCUUAUUCUCUCUGUCUUUCUAGAAGAAAAAAAGAAAGAAGAAAGAAAAAAAAAAUAUAUAUUGAUUCUGAUUCUGAUCUCCUUUGCACUCAGCUUAAGUGAGAACAUAAUUAGGCCCACUCGUUCUUCCUUUAAAAAAUGCUUUCUUUCAUUAGGACUAAAUGCUGAUAACGGCAUGCUGGAUGAGUUAGGGAUUUUUUAUAGUGUGGGUGAAAAGUUAAAUAUGUGUAGCAACAGCAUAUAGACCUAACCCCUUUCUUUGGAGAGCAAAUUGGAUACAGAAGACAACACAUUUGCUAAGGAAUGUUUCGAUGUAAAAGAAUCAUGUAAAUGUAAAAUUUCGUUAGUUAAUGUGACUGAAAAAUAAGUCCAGAAGGAAACAGAACCAUUCUGAUUUAAUCCCAGACAAAUCAACAUGUAUCUAAUUUCCUGAAAAAGAAAUUGCACUGCUGGUGAAAGAACCUUCAGUUUCAUGUA